CCUUAAACAUGCAAGUCGAACGGCAGCCAUGAUCUAGCUUGCCUAGAUUGAUGGCGAGUGGCGAACGGGUGAGUAAUACAUCGGAACGUGCCCUGUAGUGGGGGAUAACUAGUCGAAAGAUUAGCUAAUACCGCAUACGACCUGAGGGUGAAAGUGGGGGACCGCAAGGCCUCAUGCUAUAGGAGCGGCCGAUGUCUGAUUAGCUAGUUGGUGAGGCAAAGGCUCACCAAGGCGACGAUCAGUAGCUGGUCUGAGAGGACGAUCAGCCACACUGGGACUGAGACACGGCCCAGACUCCUACGGGAGGCAGCAGUGGGGAAUUUUGGACAAUGGGCGAAAGCCUGAUCCAGCAAUGCCGCGUGUGUGAAGAAGGCCUUCGGGUUGUAAAGCACUUUUGUCCGGAAAGAAAUGGCUCUGGUUAAUACCUGGGGUCGAUGACGGUACCGGAAGAAUAAGGACCGGCUAACUACGUGCCAGCAGCCGCGGUAAUACGUAGGGUCCAAGCGUUAAUCGGAAUUACUGGGCGUAAAGCGUGCGCAGGCGGUUGUGCAAGACCGAUGUGAAAUCCCCGAGCUUAACUUGGGAAUUGCAUUGGUGACUGCACGGCUAGAGUGUGUCAGAGGGGGGUAGAAUUCCACGUGUAGCAGUGAAAUGCGUAGAGAUGUGGAGGAAUACCGAUGGCGAAGGCAGCCCCCUGGGAUAACACUGACGCUCAUGCACGAAAGCGUGGGGAGCAAGCAGGAUUAGAUACCCUGGUAGUCCACGCCCUAAACGAUGUCAACUAGUUGUUGGGGAUUCAUUUCCUUAGUAACGUAGCUAACGCGUGAAGUUGACCGCCUGGGAGUACGGUCGCAAGAUUAAAACUCAAAGGAAUUGACGGGGACCCGCCACAAGCGGUGGAUGAUGUGGAUUAAUUCGAUGCAACGCGAAAAACCUUACCUACCCUUGACAUGCCACCUAACGAAGCAGAGAUGCAUUAGGUGCCUCGAAAGAGAAAG
rnacentral:rRNA from 1 species